AUUGAACGCUGGCGGCAUGCCUUACACAUGCAAGUCGAACGGGGCAGCAAUGCCUAGUGGCGGACGGGUGAGGAAUACGUAGGAAUCUGCCCUUAAGUGGGGGAUAACCAGGGGAAACCCUGACUAAUACCGCAUGAUCUCUUCGGAGCAAAGAGGGGGACCGCAAGGCCUCUCGCUUCUGGAUGAGCCUACGUCUGAUUAGCUAGUUGGUAGGGUAAAGGCCUACCAAGGCGACGAUCAGUAACUGGUCUGAGAGGAUGAUCAGUCACACCGGAACUAAGACACGGUCCGGACUCCUACGGGAGGCAGCAGUGGGGAAUAUUGGACAAUGGGCGCAAGCCUGAUCCAGCAAUGCCGCGUGUGUGAAGAAGGCCUUCGGGUUGUAAAGCACUUUAGCCUGGAAAGAAAAAACUUUGGUUAACACCCAAAGUCUUGACGGUACCAGGAGAAUAAGCACCGGCUAACUCUGUGCCAGCCGCCGCAGUAAGAC
rnacentral:rRNA from 1 species